AGUGAACGCUGGCGGUAGGCCUAACACAUGCAAGUCGAACGGCAGCACAGGAGAGCUUGCUCUCUGGGUGGCGAGUGGCGGACGGGUGAGGAAUACAUCGGAAUCUACUCUGUCGUGGGGGAUAACGUAGGGAAACUUACGCUAAUACCGCAUACGACCUACUGGUGAAAGCAGGGGAUCUUCGGACCUUGCGCGAUUGAAUGAGCCGAUGUCGGAUUAGCUAGUUGGCGGGGUAAAGGCCCACCAAGGCGGCGAUCCGUAGCUGGUCUGAGAGGAUGAGCAGCCACACUGGAACUGAGACACGGUCCAGACUCCUACGGGAGGCAGCGGUGGGGAAUAUUGGACAAUGGGCGCAAGCCUGAUCCAGCCAUACCGCGUGGGUGAAGAAGGCCUUCGGGUUGUAAAGCCCUUUUGUUGGGAAAGAAAUCCAGCUGGCUAAUACCCGGUUGGGAUGACGGUACCUAAAGAAUAAGCACCGGCUAACUUCGUGCCAGCAGCCGCGGUAA
rnacentral:rRNA from 1 species